AUAACUGCUUCCACCUCCCAUUCUCCACUAUUUUGGUAUAGAUAUUUCAUCCUAAAAUCAAACAUGGAGACUUCUGUUUCAGGCCAUUUCAGAUUUCCUAAAACUGAAAUUGCCUUCCCGCUAUUAAUAAAUAGAAAAAUUGAUAAAAUAUACAAGGAAACUGUUUUCAGACAUUGCACAACAAACAGCCCUUGACUGGAAUCCCCUAAAGAAAGGAAAUAAAAUGCCAGGUCCUAUAAUCACCCCAGCUCUCUGCCUAGAGGUAAAUGAGUCUCUUUUCAUCAAAGAGGAAGAGAUCCGAGUUCAAGAGGCUGAAACAGUCAGAACAGAGUACUACAGAGAGAAAACUUUGCAGAGAAAACUUUGCAGAGAAAAAGCUCCAGAAAUCUUCUGACUGUUCCCCUUAAGUUUGUUGCUAAAAACUAAUAUGCACAGGCAGAGUGAGGUCUCAUGAGGCCAGGUGAGAAUACCAGGAAGCUAUAAACUGAUCUAUUCUCAGAGCUCAACCAGGGAAACGGAACAUUUGAGUUCUAACCAUCCUGAAUAAGAAAUUCUCAUUGAACACACAGGGCAUUUGGUAAAAACCAUGGAAGUGAAUCACCUUAGUAACCAGAUUCAACAAGUUAUACAUGAAGAUGACUCUUACCCACCCAUGUAGAAGGAGUUCUAAGAUGGUCUCCCAAAUACUUGCCGCUGUCAUACAGCUUUGUACAAACCCUCCACCCCCUCCCGUUGGGUAUGCAUGGAACAUAAUCCUCUUAACAAAGAAGCUACAUUUACUUGUAAUGUUAAAACUCUGAGCAAACUAGGAAUACAAAUAAACUUCCAUAGAAGAUGAGUAAAAAUUAAUAACAUAGAAAAUGAAAAAGAAUAAAAAAUAAAUUGAAGAAAAAAAUAGAAAAUCUGAAGAGCCUUAUAUCUAUUAAAGAAACUGGAUUUUUUACUUAAAAUAUUUUCUUUUUUAUUUGGUUUAGGGCUGUACCCGCAGCAUACAGACAUAUCCAGGCUAGAGGUCCAAUCAGAGCUAUAGCCUCUAGCCUACGCCAGAGCCACAGCAAUGCCAGAUUCAAGCCACAUCUGCAACCUACAUCACAGGUCACGGCAAUGCUGGAUCCUUAACCCACUGAGCAAGACCAAGGAUUGAGCCUGUGUCCUCAUGCAUACUAGUCAGAUUCAUUUCCUCUGAGCCAUGACUGGAACUCCAAAAUAUUUUCUUAAUUAAAAAAAAAAAAUCUUUUCAAAUCCUGGAUAAGCCUGACAUAAAUAAACAAACAAAUAAAUAUUUUUGAAAACUUGUCAUGAGAAAGUAAAAUAAAACUUAAAAACCUUUGGGCUCAUAUGACUUUAUUGGUAUAAAAAUAGAAAGGAAAAAUAUCCAACAACCAUUCAUGAUAAUAACUCCAAGAAAACUAGGGAUAGAAGGGAAUGUUUUUAACCUGAUAAGCAAUAGCUACAAAAAACCACAGAGCUCACAUCACACUAAAGGUGGAAAUAUAAUAAUUUCCCACUAAGAUCAAAAAUAAAAAUCUUAUCUCUUCUACUUAAUUUUGUUCGGAUGCAAAAAGGGGGAAAGUGAAAUAAAAUUCAGACAGAUUGGGAAUGAUUUCAUAAUACUGCAUAGAGAAAAUCUAAAGAAAUACACAAGAAAGAUACCAGAAUUAAUAAGUGAAUUUAGCAAGAUGGAGAAUAUAUAGCUGAGAAAAAAACACUUAUAUUUCUAUAUAAAUGCAGUAAAAUAAAGCUGGAAAUUUACAUUUAAUAAUUAAUCUUAUAAUAGCAUCCAGAAACAAGAUAUUCAGAAUAAAUUUAACAAAUUUGGGCAAGACAUGUAAAGUGAAAACUACAAAAUAGUGCUGAAAUUAAAGAUUUAAAUCAGUGAAGAAAUAUACCCUAUUUAAGGAUCAAAGACUGAAAAUUAAGAUGUCAGUUAUCUCAAAAUUGGUCUUUAGAAUCAAUACAGUCCUAUCCAAGAACAUUAUCACUUUUCAUUCUCCCUUAUUAUUACCACUGAUUUGCUUUCAUUGUUCCAUGUGAAAACCAAAGUUAAAUGAAGAGUAUUUCUGAGUCUAUGUAUGGAGUUGGGAAAAAUUUUUUCUAUAGGCAGAAUGGAAGGAAUAAUAGUGAUUUAUUCUUAGGAAACAUCAGUGUUUAGGACAUGGGUAGAAAAAGAGAAAUAGGAAGUGAAACUGAGGGUAAGUUACAUGAAGUAGAACAUGAAGUAUUUCAAGAAGAAAAGUAAGGACAGUUAAUUUGUUACCAAGAAAUCCAAUAGAAUGAAGAAGGAAGUGAAGAGAGACCAGAAUAUAAAAAGGGAGUUUUGUAGUAUCCAUAACAAACACCUCAGUAAACGUGUCCCCCGGUUCCUGUGUUCCUUCCUUUAAGAAAUCACCCCUCAUUCACCUAUCCAGAGAGGAGUACACUUUCAAUCAUGUUCAUCCUGUGCCCCAUUAGCAUAAUUUGACGGCUGGUGCUAUCCCAGUAAAGUUCUCUCUCCUAAGUCAGAGUGGCAUUCUACCAAGUUCUCUUACUCAGUGUGGGAUUAUUUUGAGGAUUUACAUUUUUAAGUUUGUUGUUUGGCUAUUCCUGCCCCCCAGCAUAUGGAGUUCCUAGGCCAAGAAUCAGAUCCAAGCCUCGAUUGUGACCUAUGUCAUAGCUGCAGCAACACUGGAUCCGUAACCCACUGCAACCAGCUGGGGAUCGAACCUGAGACCUGCACUGCUGCAGGUGGAUUCUUAACCCACUGUGCCACAGUGGGAACUCAAAGGAUUACAAUUUUGAAACUAAAAUUGAGACUACUUCAAAAACAGACCAUAACCUCAAAUUUCCUAUCUCAACGGAUACCACUCUGCUUAUCAUAGAUCCAUUUACUCUUUCAUUUAUUCAACCUUCUUUAAAAGAUGUAACUCUAUUUGUAAGGCACAAAUUAUACCAUAUGGUAAUAUAGCUUUAUCAAUGAUGUUCAAAAUGUCACUUUCUUUAUAAUUUAUAUAUUUGGUAAUAUUUUAAUGACUGGUUUAUUAAUGAUUCGUCCAGCAAUUAUGUGGUUGUCAAUUUAACUUGGAUUUUCUAUGGCUUUUGACAUAGAUAUUUUGCUGUUAUUAUUUGUCACAUAGUUUUAUGAAUAGAUUGUCUUCAUCAUGAAUUAUACCUGAAGGAGUUAUUGCAUAUAAUGAGGAUUUUGUAGGGCAUACCACACAUAGGCAAAAGUAGUGAUGAUUAAGUCUUAAAAAUUACCUUUUUUGGCUUAUUGAAAAAGUUUUGUUUUCAUUUUUUGUUGUUGUUUUUGUUUUUCGUUUUUUUGUUUUUGAAGGAACACUAUGCACUUGUCACUGUGCUAGAGAUGGUCUCUGGACCCAAGGAAUUCACAUUUUAGUGAAAUUCAGAAUACAGCCUUAAUAUGGAAUGUAAUGUUUUUAUCAAUAUAAAAGUUAGUAUUUUUAUUCUCUUAAAUAUCACUAAUGAAACUCCUGUUUGUCUUUCGUCUUGUUUGUCUAAUACAUGUUUGCCCAUUUUUUCAAAAAUUUUAGUGUAACUUUGCUCUAGCUUUUUGCACUGUGAACAGUAUAUAAUUCAAUUUACUUUUGCUUUUGUUCAUUGACAUAAUCUUAAAGCAUUUUUGCUUCAGUAGGGGAUUUUAUCCUAUGAACAUUUAUAACAAUAAUUGAUGUUAUUGGUUAUAUUUGUUUCCUUGUUUUAUGUUUUUGGUUUAUUAGACUUCCUUGUUGUUUCAUUUAUUUUCUGCCUGUUUAUUAUAUUCACAAAACCAUUCUACUCUAUGCAAUGACUUGAAAGUGAAACAUUUUAAAACUUCCAGUGCUAUUUGUCUCCAAGUUUCCAAAACCUACGUGAGUCUACUUCUCCUAAUAGGAAAAUUAAACAAAUACACAAAAAUGUUAAUCUCUCUAAUGCUGGAGGAAAAUCAAUAUCUUUGAUUAUUCUGCCUCAUACCCAUUUCUAUUUUCUUGUCAAUUCAAUCUUGAAAUAUGAACCCCAAUUAUCUUUAUUUCUGAGAAACCAUAAGUAUUCCUCUUAUUUAUCCAUCCCAAUGGGAACUGAUUUAGAUUUGUCAUUUCAUGUUAAUAUUUCAGUGAUCCUGAGUACUAUUUAAAUGUUAUGAACUACGCAUUUGUAACUUCUUCAUUUGUACUUACCUCAAGGUCAGCUGUUCAGUGGGAGUAAGUCUUUAAGACAUUCAGUCCACUUCUCCCCUCAGCACCCCAAAGCCAUCAUGUUUCUGAGAAAAUCUUUGCUGCAUUUAUAUGUAUAUAUCAACUUACUUGGAUGUUGACAUUUUGUUUCAGAAUUGCUUUCUCUCAAAAUUUUAUGGUUGGUUAUUGUUUCACUAUCUUUCAGAAUUUCAUGUUGUAGAGAAUUGUUACUGUGAGAUUGUUUUUAAGUCACCAGGUUUUGUUAUUGUUGUGUUCUGCUUGAAAGACAGUAGGAUUUUUUUUUUUCUUUUUCUUGAGGCUGAAGAUGCCACUAAUAUUUCUCUAGGGAAGGGUCUCUUCAGUUUUGCCUAGAAAAUAAUCAUUUUUCAGACUUGAGACUUUCUUUAUUUUUACUUCAUUAGUUAUUGUCAUCUUUCAUUCAUUCUCAGUUUGGUUUUUUUUUGUUUGUUUUUGUUUAGUUGUUGUUUCUUUUAUUUUUAUGGCCACACCUAUCAUAUGGAAGUUCCCAGGCCAGGGACUGAAUCCAAGCCACAGCUGCCACCUACACUGCAGCUGCAGAAACACCAGAUCCUUUAAACCAUUGCCAGGCACUGAACCUACACCACAGCCACAACCUUAAGCCACAGCAGUGACAACACUGGAUCCUUAACCCACUGAGCCACGAGGGAAGUCCACUGCUAACUUCAUUUCUAACUCUAAAUCCAUUUAGGUAAUAGAUGGGAAGAUUUGUCUCUCAAAUCUAAACCAGAAGUGAAUUGUUCUACUACCUUCAGUUUUAUUUCCAAGAACUAGAUUAGGAUUAUAAACUGUAGAGAGAUUGUAAUGAACUACUGAUGUUGGUCCAAUUCUAAGACUCUGAAAUGGGAAUAAGUGCAGAAUAAAACUCAUGGUCUCCAAACUGUUUUGAUUAAAAUAUCCUAUCAGAAAAGAAAAAAAAAAACACUCACAAUAUAUAAUACAUGUGAGAGGUGGUGUAUUAGCAAGCUACUGUCACACCUAAGGGUCCUAUUCAGUCAUGGAGUGAGUGCAGUUUUCUAAUUUAAAUAUCCCCUGCAACCCAAACUGGAAGAUAGAUAAAUAGAAAUCUUCUGUUGCAUAUCUUUUGAUUACCAUCCAAGCAUGAACAGGCAAGGAUUAUGUUUAUCAUUCCAGCUCAUCAGUUUUUCAGCUAAUUCUUGAGUAGGCUGACAACUAUUUUUAGGCUUCAUUGCCAUGGUUUAUUUUCAUCACUUUUGUGUGUAGAAUGACAGAAGGAAAACUUCAAGAGCAUUUUAGUUUGAAUGUGGUGUAUGACAUAUCACACAUGACCCAUCUACAAUUCACCCAAGAAAAUCUGAAAGAUCCAUACUCUAAAAUAAAAAUCUGAUUAUGUCAUGCCCCUUGUUAAAAUCCUUCAGUGACUCCCGAUUACCUGUAGAAUAUAAUUAAAACUUCUCCAUGGGGCUAAUAUGGUCAUUUAUGAUCUGACUUCUGCCUUAUUUUUCAGCAUCACUUGUGUCCACUGCUCCAGAAAUACCCUGACCUCUUAUAUUUAGGAACCACUCUAUUCCCAAAAAUCAUUCAUUCCUAAAUUCCAUCAUGUCUAAGUAUGUACUGUUCCUGCCACAGGAAAUAAGGAGUAUCUACUACUCUCCUCUUCUGUCUGUUUGACCAACAAGUCAUUUGCCAGAGAACCAAUAUGUCAAUCACAAGAAAUGGACACUCCAACCACUAUAUGUGAUUUUAUACACACGUAUGUUGGUGUGUGUACACAGGUAUCUACACAUAGGUACAUACAAAUGUAUAUGAUUACAUUAUACAAAGUAUAACUUCAAAAGAAUGAAGACAUCUUCAACCACUUACCUCUUUCUCUCUCUGUUUCAUAACAUGGUACCAUGUUAUGUAUUUAUUCCCAUCCAUCUACCUCCUUCUUUUUUUCUAGAUUGGCUUCUUACCAUCUACCUUAUAUAUUACCCCAAUUUACAUCCCAUAAUCCCUGAAUCCCAAAUACAAGUGUAUAAAUAAGGAAAAUACAAUCUUAUUUGUGUUUACCCAUGACCCAAUAAAUUGCAGCAGAGGUAGAGAAUGUGAAUUUAAGAAAAAUGCCACCUACCAGUCUUUGGCCCAUGUAGCUUCUCUAAGGGGAUGUAUAAGGGCAGCCAGGGAAGAGAGAAAAUAACUGGGAUGUCUGAGCAGGUAGUAGCUUUCAUAUUUCUAUUUACUGGCUGUCUUCUCUACUAGAAUGAAUUUCUUCUGAAAAAACUUUUGUCUUUAUAAUCUUUAUAUGAUUAGAGUCUAGCACAUAAUUGGAACAUAGUUAAUUAUUUACUAAGUUUAUGGAUAUAGGGUGGUAAACUAAAAAGGAGUAACUUUCUAGAAAGUAUUUUCAUAUAAGGAAGUCAGAUCUAUUUGUAGGCAGGGAGGUUGUGCAAUCUACAGAUUUGAUGCAAUUCCUAUCAAAAUAUCAAUGGCAGUUUUCAUAGAACUAGAAAAAAUAACUUCAACAUUUGUAUGGAAAGACAAAAGACCCAACAUAGCCAAAACUAUCUUGAGAAAGAACAGAGCCAGAGGUAUCACACUCUGGCUUCAGACUAUACUACAAAGCUACAGCCAUCAAAACAGUAUGGUACUCACACAAAAACAGGCACAUAGAUCAAUGGAAAAAAAGUGAUAGCCCAGAAAUAGACCCAUGCACUUAUGGUCAAUUAAUUUACCAAAAAAAAAAAGAAGGAAAGAUGCACAACAGAGAAAAGACAGUCUCUUCAGUAAAUGGUGCUGGGAAAACUGGACAGCAACAUGCAAAAGAAUGAAAUUAGGACAUUUUCUAACACCAUACACAAAAAAUAAACUCAAAAUGGAUUAAAGGCCUAAAUGUAAGACCAGAAAUCAUAAAGCUCCUAGAAGAAAACAUAGAUGUAAUUAAUUCUGUUUGACAUAAAUUGUAGUGAUACUUUGGGGAACUGUAUCCUAAAGCAAAGGGAACAGAAGCAAAAAUAAACAAAUGGGAUCUAGUUAAACUUAAAAACUUUUGCACAGCAA
rnacentral:lncRNA from 1 species